rnacentral:hammerhead_ribozyme from 1 species
GUCCAGCUGAUGAGCCCCAAAUAGGACGAAACGCGCGUCCUGUAU